rnacentral:lncRNA from 1 species
ACAUGCACCACCAUCGGAAGAUACAAGUACGAGCGAAUGAGAAGCAACCGUUAAUCCUCAGGUCGGGAAGUUCCUCCAAAAUUACCUGCAUCCCAUCAGUUAGUGAAAUAAAAUAUGAAAACAUAUUAUUCUAAAAAGAAAUAAUUCAUGACAGCGUCUAAUCUAACGUAGUUUGCUGCUGUAAUUUGAGGUCUUCCUGAUCCAUGACUGUUGUGUUGUAGCCUAUUUUUCUUAUAAACUCUCAGUCACAACUUACUUUUGUUAUCUGUGCCCUUGAAUGUCUAAUCUAGUGUUGUUGC